rnacentral:rRNA from 1 species
AUUGAACGCUGGCGGCAGGCCUAACACAUGCAAGUCGAACGAGCGGCGGACGGGUGAGUAAUGUCUGGGGACUGCCCGAUAGAGGGGGAUAACUACUGGAAACGGUGGCUAAUACCGCAUACUAUCGGAUAACCCAUAUGGGAUUAGCUAGUAGGUGGGGUAAAGGCUCACCUAGGCGACGAUCUCUAGCUGGUCUGAGAGGAUGAUCAGGCACACCGGGACGGUGAAACGGCCCAGACUCCAAGGGAGGCAGCAGGGGGGAAUAUUGCACAAUGGGCGCAAGCCUGAUGCAGCCAUGCCGGGUGUAUGAAGAAGGCCUUAGGGUUGUAAAGUACUUUCAGCGGGGAGGCGUUAACCGCAGAAGAAGCCACGGCUAACUCCGGGCCAGCCGCCGCGGUAAUUC